GCCGCGGCGCGGCGCGUUUGAGAAGCGUCCCAGAAGCGGCUCGCCGCGCCGCUUCGCUAAAGAUAGGCACCUCGCCUAUUUUUGACGGACGCCGCGUCCAAGACGCGCAGCUCAAAUACAAAAUAAAGUCAAAAUAAUCACCCUGAGUAAUCUCCCGCUCAUAUUUCACUUCACUACGAUGCCAGAAACUGACGACAAGAGAUUCGAAGUUGAAAAACUUGAAAUUUCUUUGUUUUUGUUGUCCAUAACUGGAAUAUUAAGUGUACAAUUAUUAUUAACUUCAUCUGUAUAGCUACAGCAAAAUAAAUUAUGGCAUAGCAAUAAACACAAUUAAACCGGACAAUAUAUAACAAUUUAGCCAUUAAAAACAUGAAAAAAUCAACGAAAACAACGUCAGACAGGCAAAUCUCGUGGUCUCGCGAAUCCAGCCGCUUCGCUUCUGAAAUGCUUCUGGUGUGAGUUGACACCGUUCAGAAGACGGAACAAAACCAUGCCGGAGCCGUAACGCAACGCACACGCGUGCAGUGUAAACGAGGGGUAAGGCAGAAGCGAGGCUUCGAACGUCAUCAAUGACGUAAUUGAUGUAAAGUGAUACAAGCCUCGAUACGCGCUUCACUAAAAGCUUCCGGGAUUUCUCGACACACGCUCCGAAGCCUCGGCACAGAACGUGAACCCAGCAACUGUGCUCUAGAGAAGGACAUCACCCGUCUGCAUUUCAAUGGUUGCAUUUCCAUCGAGGAUGUAGAAGUUACUUCCUGCACUGGCCACUGUGACAGCAGAUCAAUGUAUUCGAUGGACAUGAACGAUAUGACGCACAGCUGUUUUUGCUGCCAGGAGGAUCAAUUCAGCAAUAGAAAUGUGACGCUGAAGUGUGCCAAUGGCAGUGAGAUCCCUCAUGACUACAAGUAUAGAGACCUGCAAAUGCACUCUAACUGAGUGCGAAAAUGAGAAGAAAAAAUAAAAGAAUAAAAGGUCCUCCUUACUGCUGAUUUGAACAUGACUCAAUCUGAAAAAUUUUAAAACAUAUUUAUAUAUAUCCGAAAAUGACAGUAGUUAUGAUUUAAGCUGAUUGUUGCAGUGCAUUAAUGGCUAAAUUGAUCUUUUCUUUGUAGUUUGAUGCAGGGGUAUGGUUAACUCUAAGCAUAAUCUAUUUUGUUAUGUCUUGAAGGGGAACCUGGGCUUUUUUUUUUCUUCUUUUUUUUCAUUUGUUACAUUCUCUGGUAAUGCAUGCUAUAAUAAUGUCCUGUACUUUUCCUUCCAAUGAAAUGAAUUAAAAUCACAAUAAAGCAUAAUAAAGAGCAUCAA